rnacentral:rRNA from 1 species
GUUGGUUAAGUCCGCAACGAGCGCAACCCCUGCUGCCUGUUGCCACCACGAGAGGUGGGACUCAGGCGGGACCGCCGGUGACAAACCGGAGGAAGGUGGGGACGACGUCAAGUCAUCAUGGCCCUUAUGUCCUGGGCUACACACGUGCUACAAUGGCCGGUACAGAGCGCAGCGAGGCCGCGAGGCGGAGCGAAUCGCUUAAAGCCGGUCCCAGUACGGAUUGGAGUCUGCAACCCGACUCCAUGAAGUUGGAAUCGCUAGUAAUCGCGCAUCAGCAUGGCGCGGUGAAUACGUUCCCGGGCCUU